GUAACGGCCUACCAAGCCUACGAUCUAUAGCUGGUUUGAGAGGAUGAUCAGCAACACUGGGACUGAGACAUGGCCCAGACUCCUACGGGAGGCAGCAGUGGGGAAUCUUGGACAAUGGGGGCAACCCUGAUCCAGCCAUGCCGCGUGAGUGAUGAAGGCCCUAGGGUCGUAAAGCUCUUUCGCCUGUGAAGAUAAUGACGGUAGCAGGUAAAGAAACCCCGGCUAACUCCGUGCCAGCAGCCGCGGUAAUACGGAGGGGGUUAGCGUUGUUCGGAAUUACUGGGCGUAAAGCGCACGUAGGCGGAUCAGAAAGUUAGAGGUGAAAUCCCACGGCUCAACCGUGAACUGCCUUUAAAACUCCUGGUCUUGAGUUCGAGAGAGGUGAGUGGAAUUCCGAGUGUAGAGGUGAAAUUCGUAGAUAUUCGGAGGAACACCAGUGGCGAAGCGGCUCACUGGCUCGAUACUGACGCUGAGGUGCGAAAGUGUGGGGAGCAAACAGGAUUAGAUACCCUGGUAGUCCACACCGUAAACGAUGAAUG
rnacentral:rRNA from 1 species